UCUGCCCAGGCUGGAUGUUUUGAUUAGUUUUAAGAAAGUUCUAUUGAUUUCUCUGUGUUUUAUUUUGGAGGAGAAUUUUUAGAGAACAGUGCAUUGUGGGUAUCAGAGGCUGUUGCAGUUUGGAAUACCUGUUGGUAGAGAGAGAGCCUGCCUGUUAAUGUGUGAACUGCACCUCCUGUGUUAAUCUUUGCUUGCACCUCCGAAAGCAAUGGCUAUUUUGUUUCUGAACAAACCU